rnacentral:pre_miRNA from 2 species
UGUAACAGCAACUCCAUGUGGAAGUAGAUAUAAUAUUCCGGUGGAGAUGCUGUUAUCUG